AGUGAACGCUGGCGGUAGGCCUAACACAUGCAAGUCGAACGGCAGCACAGUAAGAGCUUGCUCUUACGGGUGGCGAGUGGCGGACGGGUGAGGAAUACAUCGGAAUCUACUUUUUCGUGGGGGAUAACGUAGGGAAACUUACGCUAAUACCGCAUACGACCUACGGGUGAAAGCAGGGGAUCUUCUGACCUUGCGCGAUUGAAUGAGCCGAUGUCGGAUUAGCUAGUUGGCGGGGUAAAGGCCCACCAAGGCGACGAUCCGUAGCUGGUCUGAGAGGAUGAUAAGCCACCCUAGAACUGAGACACGGUCCAGAGUCCUACGAGAGGCAGCAGUGGGGAAUAGUGGACAAUGGGCGCGAGCCUGAUCCAGCCAUACCGCGUGGGUGAAGAAGGCCUUCGGGUUGUAAAGCCCUUUUGUUGGGAAAGAAAAGCAGCAGGUUAAUACCCCGCUGUUCUGACGGUAACCAAAGAAUAAGCACCGGCUAACUUCGUG
rnacentral:rRNA from 1 species